rnacentral:pre_miRNA from 1 species
UCUAGAACUCGAGAUAUGGGCUGAACACUGAACAAUGUCUGGGCUGCAGGACAGAUUCGGACUUCUUCGUUGCUGCUGCA